AUUGAACGCUGGCGGCAGGCCUAACACAUGCAAGUCGAACGGUAACGGGAAGCAGCUUGCUGCUUCGCUGACGAGUGGCGGACGGGUGAGUAAUGUCUGGGAAACUGCCUGAUGGAGGGGGAUAACUACUGGAAACGGUAGCUAAUACCGCAUAACGUCGCAAGACCAAAGAGGGGGACCUUAGGGCCUCUUGCCAUCGGAUGUGCCCAGAUGGGAUUAGCUAGUAGGUGGGGUAACGGCUCACCUAGGCGACGAUCCCUAGCUGGUCUGAGAGGAUGACCAGCCACACCGGAACUGAGACACGGUCCAGACUCCUACGGGAGGCAGCAGUGGGGAAUAUUGCACAAUGGGCGCAAGCCUGAUGCAGCCAUGCCGCGUGUAUGAAGAAGGCCUUCGGGUUGUAAAGUACUUUCAGCGGGGAGGAAGGGAGUAAAGUUAAUACCUUGGCUCAUUGACGUUACCCGCAGAAGAAGCACCGGCUAACUCCGUG
rnacentral:rRNA from 1 species